rnacentral:rRNA from 1 species
GUGGCGAACGGGUGAGUAACACGUGAGUAACCUGCCUUUCACAGGGGGACAACAUUUGGAAACGAAUGCUAAUACCGCAUAAGACCACACUGUGGCAUCACAGAGAGGUCAAAGGAGCAAUCCGGUGAAAGAUGGGCUCGCGUCCGAUUAGCUAGAUGGUGAGGUAACGGCCCACCAUGGCAACGAUCGGUAGCCGGACUGAGAGGUUGAACGGCCACAUUGGGACUGAGACACGGCCCAGACUCCUACGGGAGGCAGCAGUGGGGAAUAUUGCACAAUGGGGGAAACCCUGAUGCAGCGACGCCGCGUGGAGGAAGAAGGUCUUCGGAUUGUAAACUCCUGUCUUUGGGGACGAUAAUGACGGUACCCAAGGAGGAAGCACCGGCUAACUACGUGCCAGCAGCCGCGGUAAAACGUAGGGUGCAAGCGUUGUCCGGAAUUACUGGGUGUAAAGGGAGCGCAGGCGGAUCGGUAAGUUGGGAGUGAAAACUAUGG